GACGGCGAUGGGAGAUUCCUGUGGGGGAAACCCACCCGCAUCCCCCAGGGUUCCUUGGGGUGACAGGUUUGCUGUCAGCCAGAGGAGGGUCUCACCGCUUCUUCCUGGUCUUCAAGGAAGGAGAGGGCUCUCUCAGCCUUCUGCUCAUAGCUCCACCCCUGGCAGGAAGUCCCUUCUGUUGUCUGUCAGCCCUUCUACUUCAGAGAUGGUGACAGAUAUUGAAAAUCAGAUCGAUAAGCAGCUUCAAGACAGACUGAAUCAGGAGGAGGUGGCUACAGCUCCUCUGGCCAAGAAGCUGGAAUCAGUUAGUAGAACCGAGAAGAGAUCUGUCCAAAGUCACAAAGCUUGUAAACGGAAUUGGAACCUGUGUGCACGUGAUUCCAAGUUCUGUGCUCUUAACCAGUGCCGUUGUGGUGGCUAACACAGGAAAGAAAGAUGCCAAACCUCACAGCAGUAACCCGGCAGGACGAAAGCGUCUGGCCCUUUAAGGCCACCUUCUUCCCCCCACGUGCCGUCUGGUUGGGCUGGCGACGCUGACGCACGCGUGACGUCAAUGGCAGCUGGCGGAGUCUGGGCACGAGGAGCGAAGUUGGGAUGGGGGUGGAGGGGCGAAACCCAGAGGGCGGUUUAUUUGCAUUUAAAGGGGCCACUCCAGGGUUGGCGCUCAAGGCUUUAAAGAUUCGUGUAUUUGGAAAACUUUCCGUCUUGCGCUAGGGGACAAGAAAAAGGCGUGGUACAGCUAAAAUCUGUCGUGACUAGACUUUGCGAUGUCGAUUAUGUCCUUCCGCGGAAAGGGCGAAAUAGUCCCUCGGUGCCGGGACUGGAACCACGUGACCUGGAGGGGGCGGUUGGGGGGUGGGGAGAGGGAAAAAGG
ensembl:lncRNA